CUAAAGAGGAGGAAGGAAUGGGCAACGGUAGGUCAGCAUGCCCCGAAUUAUCUGGGCUACACGCGGGCUACAAUGGGUGGGACAAUGGGUAUCGACACCGAAAGGUGAAGGCAAUCUCCUAAACCCAUCCGUAGUUCGGAUUGUGGGCUGCAACUCGCCCACAUGAAGCUGGAAUCUGUAGUAAUCGUGUCUCAAAAUGGCAACGGUGAAUAUGUCCCUGCGUCCUU
rnacentral:rRNA from 1 species